UCGGUCCCUAUCUGCCGUGGGCGCUGGAGAAUUGAGGGGGGCUGCUCCUAGUACGAGAGGACCGGAGUGGACGCAUCACUGGUGUUCGGGUUGUCAUGCCAAUGGCACUGCCCGGUAGCUAAAUGCGGAAGAGAUAAGUGCUGAAAGCAUCUAAGCACGAAACUUGCCCCGAGAUGAGUUCUCCCUGAGACUUUAAGUCUCCUGAAGGAACGUUGAAGACGACGACGUUGAUAGGCCAGGUGUGUAAGCGCAGCGAUGCGUUGAGCUAACCGGUACUAAUGAACCGUGAGGCUUAACCUU
rnacentral:rRNA from 1 species